UACCUAAAAUACAUAUGGAUACGAGUGAAAAUUGAAGCCGUAUCCUUUAACGCGGGCACUGUUAUUUCAAUGUUUCUUAACUGCGGUAAUCACAUUUAUAAUAAAAAAGUUAAAAGAAUGAAAAUGUCACGUAAAUCACGCGUAUUUAUAAACAAUAAGCCACUUAAGUCUAAUAAACAACCGUCAUAAACAUGUACGCAUUUCUAGGCAUUUAUGUUGUUAAACAAAAAGCUUGACUUUGCUAUAAAUUCUAGUUGGAAUAGUAAAUAAUUCUAUCAAACUGCUUCCGUAUAAGAUUAGUAAGCGUAUAACUACGCGAGAUGUUGAGAUGAUAACAAUGUAGUUAAUUUUUAGAAAAUAAUUGUUUAGAAUUAAAAUAAAAAUUUUAAAGUAAAUAAGUUUUGAAAUAGUGUAUAUAUGUACAUAUGUUGUAAUGUAAAGGAUAACUUCAAUACAUAUUAGAAAUAAAAAAUAGUUAAAAUAUGUAUCUGGAGCGCCAGGAGCUAGUAUAAAUUUGAAAUAGAAAUAUAUUUUAUUCUAGUUAUCAAAUUUGAUUUUUACAGGGGUCUAAUUUUUAUUAGUCUUCCUUUAUAAGACCUUCAGCAUAUCCACAUGUAAUUAUUUAUCAGUUAUGUAUAAUCCGGAAGUGUAUUGGAAAAAUAGUCAUUAAUUGCAUGAUUAAAAUGUCAAACCUAAAUACAUUCAUUGGGGCCCAUAGAAACCCUUACACAUUAGUUACAAUUGGAACUAUUUUUUUUUUUUAAGAAAAUGUAAAGAAUACAACAAAUGCCCUUUUAAUUUCUUCCCCAAAUACACCGUCAUUAGUAUGUAUUAAUACGGUGAUAAACUUUCAUACGCACAUACAAAAGUAGUUUUGCUCAGCUGUACCAUCUUCUGCAAUAAAAUUUCACAUCGCACAACUAACUAUUCACCUGUUUUUCUUUGACAUGCUGCUACAUACCAACACAUUUGUAACAGUAAUUAAAUAUGUACAACCGUCAACUUUGACCUCAGCUGUGUUUUGUGAAUGAUGUUCAAGUAAAAAAAAACAACAGCUGGUUAUUUCUCAAAACACAAUGCACUAUAAAAAAGGUGUUCACACGCUUCAAAUACACAUACAUAACUACAUUAGUACAACUUAAGUAUUUUUUUUUAAUAAUGGAGCUACAGUGUUGUGGAAAGUCAGAAAAAUUAUUGAAAUAUUAUUUUUAAUAUGACGUAUAUUUUUUAUUUGAUUAAAUUUGUGUACUUCGAAUGGAAUUAGAAAGACUGCAAACAGAUUUUGGAAAUAUCGGUGCUUCAGUUUUAUAUGGCUUCGAGACUAUACAAUAUAGACCUAACAACAACAUUUAUACUGCUGUUAGAUUUGUUUCAAAAAAUUUGAUCCAAUCAUGGAUCACUUCGUUAUUUAUAAAAUCUCUCAAUUUUUUUAUUUUUUCCAACACUGUAAAACAUACUUAUAAAAAUUCACUUGUUUAUGCCUCCUGUAGAGACGUAUUGUUGUUUAAUUCAGUUGAACAUAUAAGAUAAACAACGAAAAUUAAAUAUUUCAUUGCCAAGUAGCAAAAACAAAAACAAUAUCUACAACUUUAAUAUUUCUAUAACAUUUAUUGCAUAUUUUAAAACAUACAUACAUACAUCCAUUUGCACAACAUCAAGUGUAGACGAGGAGGCAAAGUGAAACGUUGCAGUGAAACAGCACAAAUGAAAUGGCUUUUAAUCUUGGAAUGCGUCACUAACUGGUCAGAAGCAGAAGAAUUCCUUCAUCAUACGCUCUAUGUUGUGCUGCUUUGUUUUUACAUUUGCUACAGCCGCCGAAAUAUCCCCUCGAGAACGUCAUUAGUAUGACUCAAAUGCAUGCUCAUACAUUUACUAUGGAAAAACGCGGCCGCCGUCGCUUUCAUGUCGCACCAUUGUUGUGUUUUUAUUGUUGCUCAGAUAAAUCUUAAGUAAAUGGCGAUUUGGCGGCUCUUUUUUUAUGUGACGCCUUCAGUUACUUUUUAUGAACGCACAUGAAUUAUGAAAUUUUCUGUGUUGAAGGUGUCAGCGUGACAAACUGUUGAUCUUGUCAGGAGUUUACCAACUUUGCUUUAAUUUCAUUGACCUCAAAAUGGUUCAAGGGGAGAUUAGAUAGUGUGGCGUAGAAGUUUGUUUGACUAUUUAAUUAUUACAGCUUUCCUUUUGUUUUUUUUUCUUUUUGUUGUUGCUUUUAACCAGCAGCCAAACAAUGGAUUACUUUGAAAGAAGCACAGCUGAGAUUUGCCGUGAAUGUAGCUAAUUACGUGUACGUAUACAAAUUACAACCGUAGCCACGACUAGGUAAACGACUUUUUAUGUAAAUAGCUUAUGACUGUGUGUAUAUGUAUGCACGAGUAUACUUGGCUCGUACUUAAUACGGUAAAAAUGCAAUAUAAGUAAGUAACAGCAUAAGUAACUCGCGAGGAAAUAUGAACCUUAUAAGUGAGUAGUUAUGUUUGUAUGUUUAUACAUAGAUAUAUAUAUAAUGAAAUAUAGUAUUUCAUUUGUUGCGAAAUCGAAUUAAAUUGCUUACUAUAGUAUAAAUUGACUGAGUGGAGUACUUUUCUUUAGUUUGAAUUUGCGAAAACACAAAAAUGUUUCGAAAAAGAUGUAUGUAAUCAAACUAAUAUUUUUCCAGAAACCACUUGUUUUUCCAAGAUUUGGAUUGUUUAGUUCAGUUUCCAAGCCAGGGAGACCAUUAAAUCAAAAUUUUUAUAGGUUCCAGAACUUUAAGACGAGAGCUUUAAUUCUAUAUGUUAAUAAGAGGGUAGCCUAUUUGAUAGGUUGUUUAUCUGUCACCUUCUUUUGACUACUAAUUGUGAGUUAUAUGAGGUCUUGGAUAUUAGAUAUAGAACUAGGUUAGUACGUAGUUGGUUUGUUUCCAAAUGUGAACAUGCAGAUUCAUUCUUCUGAAUACUCCGAUUUUGUCUUCAAAACAAGCUAUAUAUCAUCCAACUUUCGACAUCGCAUGACAUUUUUCGCAGAUUUGGCGAGUCAUUAAAGUAUUAAAUAGACUGAAAACAUUGGACAGUCGUCUUCAAUUGCAAGUUAUGAUGUACAAAUUUAAGGGCGUGACAAAACUAAACGAGUUUAAUUUGCCUACUUGAAGUGCUAUUGUUUUUUGUAUUUUUAAACAGCAUCAUUGAGGCUGACACAAUCGUCACAACACAUAAAUUGACAUUAAAUGAAAAUGCGCCACACCAGCAUAUCAACUAAUUUACCUACACAUACAUACAUACAUACAUAUAUACUAUGUUUAUACCAUAGAGUAUAUCUGCAACACAAUUGUGACUGCUUUUGUUGUGGAUGCCGACCUCAAAGCGUAAAUGCCGCAAAGCUUUGCUUGACAGCGUUGAAUGUCAGGCUUGUUUUGGAAUAACACACAUACACAUACAUAUCUAUGAUGUAUUUCGCUUUGUUUUGGAUUAAAUUAUAUGCAUCAAUUUAAUUCGCAUGUAUAUGUAUGUAUAUAGUAUCUAUCUCCCACACCAACUUUAAUUUUUGCAUUGUUUCGGGUGUUUGUAAGUGAAAUUACAGAUCUUCAGUUGGAUUCAAUACAUCCAUAAGUAUGUGUGUAUGCAAUGUAUAUAUGUCAGAAAUUUACAGAUACAGUGGUACUUUAUAGUUCAUUUCAUCCUCAUUGAAUUGCUUCACUUAACGCUCAUACACUUCGUAGGUCCGGCCUAACCUAACCCUCUACAACUAAAGGCAUUAUUAAGCAAGCAAAAGGGGCGCGUUUUUAAAUACGUUUCAUUUAUAAAAUAACUCCGAAAUGUUGAACGAAUCAUUAUUUUUAGCAGUCUUAAAUAAUUAAAUUUUUUUUGGUUAAGAAAGGGCUUCAGUUUAAUACCCAAGCAUUUGUAUUGUCUUCCUGUACAUUUUUAUUUUUCACUAUUAAAUAAAAUUGUCAUAUUUUGGUCCACUUCUCUUAUGCUUUUCGUCUUCAUACAUACCCAUAUUAUUUAGCCUCAAUUUAUUUGUAUUUUCGCAAUUGUUGCACGAGGAAGUCGUCGUUUUUUGCUAUUUGGUUUCUGGUUUACUUUUAUUUAUGUGCGGCAAACAUAAAUUCCGUUAUGCAUGCACUUAAUGCACCCUCGCUCCGCAAAACUAAAUGAGCAUUAUUUAUUUAGGGUGACCACUUGUUGAGCUAAUAUGGAAAUUAUGAAUGAGUGUGUGUUUGCCUGUGCAAAGAUCUAAUUUAAAAUAAGUCGGUUGAGUGCCAAUUUAAUAUUCAAAUAUAUAUUUGUUUAGUUUAUAAAUAUCAUUUUAUGAGUAUAUAAAUUGGUUACAAUGCUAUAAAGAGUCUGCUCCACAAUUAGCGCUGGAAGCGCCAUUUUUAUUGAAUGCUGGCAACCUUAGUUUUUCCUGCCAUCACGAAGACCGCCUUUUGUUAGAGGUCUCCCUAGAUCCAUGUUGUCUGAUCUGUGAAAUAGAUCCUGACUGUUGCUAAAACCAAUGAAAUAAUAGAUUGUAAUGGAAUAAUCUUAGUUGCUUAUUCAGCUAGGCUUGUUUUUUUUAUGUUUUAAGGUUAGAAACGUUUGUCCCCUGGAGUUGAAAAUCGAAAUUUGUACUAAAACUUAUAAAUAACGUAAAAAAUCGUUGGAUCAAGUUAUUUCUAAGUCGUUCUUUUUGAAAAUUUGAACAAAUAUUUCAGAGUUGACCAUUUAAGUUUCCUAAUCUUGGGCUAACGUAGACAUUAAUGUCAUAAUUUUCUUCGACUCAUCUUGUAGCAUAUAAACAGUCGCAGUGGUUUAGUUUCGGGUUCGUUUACAGAAGCUCAUGUGUAAAUCUUAUAGAGAACACUUUAAAUGAAAAGCGAUUGAAUUUUUCUAGUUAUUUCUAACAACAAUCGACAAGGAGACUUGUUUUAAAGAGUUAUUAAUAGAAUUAAUACCAUAUAUAGAACAUAUUCAGUUCUUAGCAAAUUAGGUCACUUGAAUUCUGGGUACAAACAAGUACAGUUUCUCUUAACAUUAUACAUUAUUCUCUGUGGUUAAGGUAUCGAAUUCGAGCGUUAAGGUUCAAUGUAUAACUAGUUCUUUUGCUGCCAUAUAUAAGUAUAUUUGUAUUAAUUUUUCUUGGAGAUUAAGGUCGAAAGGUAGAGUCAUAUCCUAAAAAAGUUGAUUGAAUUCAGAAGAACUUUGUCAAUACCAGCUGGUGAGUGGCUAUGCAACUGUAUAAAUAUAUUUUUGGACUUAAAUAUAUAUGCAUAACAUAUAAUGUACACCCAUAAUAUGAGGCAACGUUGAGCAAAAUCAGCACUCAAUUGAACCCUUUUUUCUUAUUUUGAUUUAAUGCAUUUCGGACUAAGCUAUUUAAUCAACAAUAUAUACAUUUGUAUGUUUGUAUGUAUUUAACUAUGUUUGUAUGCGUAUCUAUAAAGCAAAUCAAUAUGCUUAUUUGCUCAGUUGUCUUGGCAUUCACAAGUCAGCAAAAUCGAAGGCAGAGGAGAGUGAAAUGCCAAUAUUGAUAAGAAAUACACGGAAAUAUGCGCACACACAUACACACAAAUGUACAUAAAUGAAUGACGUUGAGGGAAUAUAAUGGAGUAUUGAUAAGUGCUUGGCAUUGUUUGAAUUUUUUCUCCAUAACAACAACAAAUAAUGGCGCAAAUUUUAUGUAAAUCACCACUCAGCAUCUCGCAUAAAUGAGUAAGUCCGCAACAGCUGGUGCCAAACGCUUACGAAACGAACGAAAUUUGUGACAACAGAAUUUUUAUGAAUAUGUAUGUAUGUAUGUAUAUUCGAUCAUUUUUUUCCAGAAAAUAUAUUAUGUAAUGUAUAUUUAUUUUCCUGCAUUAACUUUAAUUGAGACGUGUGUUUUUUUCAUUAUUACUUAAUUUUUCUAAUAUUGAAUUUUCUAUAUUUAGAUACAUAUUUAUUUAUAAUCGUUUGUUAAUCAUACUGAAGUAAAAACAAAUUAGUUUGUAUGCCGGCGACGUGCCGCCGGUGCGAUUUACAAUCAGCCCGUCAGUUAGCAUUGUCACCACAACAAGUAGACGCCUUCGCUGGAAAGUGAAAUUACUCACUCAUUGUUUAUUAAACUUAGGUUAGGUUUGCUAUCGCUUUUACUUAAUUAAUGAAUAACAAUUUAUAAUUGAAGUGAAGUGCUGUAAUACAUAUGUAUGUAUGUAAAUAUGUAUGUUUAUAGGUACAUGACCAAAUUAAUAAGUACGCUACUUAAUUUUUUAUUCUUCUUCUUUUAUUAAAUUUUUUCACUGAGUCACAUAGUUUUAUUCACCUAACGGUUUACAUUUUUGACUUUUUUUUAGAGUGGUAAUGGAUUAUGUGUGAAAUUAGAACAUUGCCAGUUCCACAAAAUACCAUAAAUUGGCAAGACAUCUGUUAUUAUUUAACAGCAACGAUACAUCGGAUGACAAUUCAAACAAUUUACGAAUACAAAAAAAAUGUAUGAAAAUAAAUCGUAUCUUUGAUUAUUCGUUCGAUAUUUAUCAUUUAAGAUUAUCAAUAGUACAAUCGCUCUUAUAAUUUCUUAUUCCUUAACUAAUUCGAAUUAUUUUCGAUAACACCAAUGCCUUAAUUCCAUAAUUAACUCUCCUUAUCUAGUGAAAAACCAGAAACGGUAUCGAAAGCCUAUUAGGAAUGAAGCGAUUAUAUUUUUUCUAAUUAUUGAGUAAUUUGUCAUUUUGUUAUGAGUCAUUGCAAUAAAUAUAGAGAAUUGGGUUUCUUCUAUCGGCCGAAUUUCGUCAUAAAGUAGUGUCUUGAAUGCGAACGUGGAAAAGAUUGAGUUUUGGAACACAUUAUUGGUACUUGAAAGCGGGGACCCGCGAUAUUAAAGGCUUUGUAACGCUCGUAAUAAAGAAAAUCCAAUCAGUCGGAUUGCAUAAGAAUGAAUCAUAUAGAAUCACAACUUUGUUACUUGCUUGCAAGAUAUAUUGCCUGAAGAUUUAGUCCUAAAACAAAUGACGAUGGCAUUUUAUUCGAUUAGCGCUUAUUCAUGGCAGAAUUCUAAAUACUAAUUAAUGAGUUUUAUGGUUUUAAUGAGAGGAUAUAAACUCUAGGGCACAAGCAUAAUAAAUUUAGCUUAAAAACAGUAAAAUAAAAUUUUGUAUUUCUUAAUAACAUCAGUAUUAGAUGAGAGUUAGUGAUAUUUUCUCUCCUAAUGGGUGGGUUUCCAAAUUUGGAAAAAAAUUGUUUCUUAUUUAAUAGUACAAUCAAUAUGUUAAAAUAUUAUUCAAAAAUUUCAAAUUCAUCUGAGUAAUAUUCUAUGAGAUAUGUAGACCCUUGGGAAAUGUUCCCAAUUCAACCAUGUCAGUUUCAAUUUAAAACUUCAAACCAAUUUAUCUUAAAACUAAUUUUUUAAAUCGGUGGUGACGAUAUCUUUAGAAGUUAUGAAACGAUUUUGUUCAAAAUUAUUGAACAAAGGAUUUAUGUUUUAUGACAAUUAAUAUUUUGAGUUUUUUUUUGUUAAUAUUCUGUCAAAAUUUCAAAUUAUAAUAUUUUGUUUUUUUUUUUGCUACGUUCAAUAACGAGAUUUAGCCAUGUACUAUCAAAAUAUUUUUUUAUUCUAAAUGAACCAAUAAUGUGUUAUGAUGUACAUGGUAAGAACAUGUAUUUUAGAUGUCCAGGGAGAUGAAGUACCAACGGCUGAGCUUUCGGAAAUUUUCAAUAAAAAUUUCACAAUUUCAAUUCAGAUCGUUCACCUCUCAGAUUAAUCUUUUAUUUAACAUAAUAUGAAUUGGCUCGCAAUAUUUAAAUUUUUUAUUUAUUUUAUUUUUUUACUUAUAUUUAUUAAUUAUUAUUAUUUGUUUACAUUUAUAUUUUUUAUGUAUGUAUUUAUAUCACGCAAUACCAGUAUUCCCAGAAAUUGCACAACACUUAAGCACACUUAAGGGGAAUAUAAAUUAAACCGUUACUAAUACUGGUGUGAAUUGAUAAAUAUAUUAUAUCGCUCCCAACUCCAACCAGCCAUUAUCGAUACACGUACAUACAUACAUAAUUACAUAUAAAUAUGUAUGUACAUAAAGCACAUAACGGCAAAGUAAUAUACGAUCCAUGAACAUUAAAUUAAUUUAAAAAAUGGGAUUGUUUUUUUUCUUUAAUUAAUUCUUUUAAUUAGAUCAACAUUUGUAGUAAUAUGUGUAUGUGUGUAGAAAAUAUUGUAUAUUAGUUAUCAAAUAAAUAAAAGUCAGCUGAUUUACUGAUUAUAAUUGAAAGUAACGGUUUUCCGUGAUUUAUACAAUUCUUGUUCCAAAAGAGUAUCGCUAGUGAGAAGCAUAGAGAGAGUGAAUUAUACUGUAUUUUAUAGAUAAUUUUGCGUCAGUAAUCAUCAGAUGACACAGACAUUCCGAUAAAAUGAUAAUGACUACUUCAACUAUAAGUAAUUUAUUAGCGUCAAGUCGAAAUGAUAUGUAUUUAAUAUAAUUUUUCCAACUCAAGAUAAGUAAUGCAUAUGUAUUAAGUUAGCAACGCGGUAAUUAUUAUCUUUAUUAUUUUAUAGGCCAAUUCCAUGGCAAGUGAUGCGAAGGUUUUUGUAAAUAACUUUGUAAUGUUGCAUAAGUAUUGAAGCGCGUUGUAGACCGGGCAUGUAUUUAUUAUAUAUAUGAGUGCGAUAGACAACGAUUAAUGUAUACAUUUCCGCUAGUGAGGUGAGAUAAGAGUAAAUCGCAAAAAACCCAGCAGAGAAAGCAAUUGACAACAGUGAGCAAGAUUUAAAACAGUAUUGUAAUGCUGCGAAAUGGUUUUGUGAUAGCUCUCUCGCGCACUCUCACUCUAUAUCAGCUCAUAUUGAUUACAAAUUACAAGCAUUAUCUGCUCAAAAGUAGGCGUGUAACCGAAAUGCCGACUGUAAUUGACCGGGGUAAAUGACACCGCACAUGCAUAACACAUGUCAUCAGCUGACCUAAAAGCUGGGUCAGCAAUGAUUGCUCAUUAAUAUUAAUAGUAUACAUAAAUAUUUGCUAUAUUUAUGUAUGUAUGUAUAUAAAUAAGCGCUCUGUUACUGUAUCGAGAGCAUUAUUUAUGCAUAAUAUAUUCGUGUUUAUUUAUUGUUUGCUCUCAAACUUUGAAGCCGGUAACUUUGGAGCCACUUGGCGGCUUAUUGUUUGCCACUUGAACGCCUAUUGUUAACGCAGUUAACGGUGCUUUGUCGAAGUAUUGUAAUAUAGCAAUAAAUUAUGCAACUAUUUUCUUUUAAUUUUUUCUUUGUUAAGUUUUUUUUUGUGACUUAAAAGUCAAUGAAUAACGCUCAAGCAAAGCUUUGACACAAUUCUUUUUUCUUUCUGCUGCUGAAUGAAAGCAGUUGGAGAUCCACUUGUAAAAAUUCUGAAUUUUGAAGCUAAGUUGUGUUGCGGUAAUUAAUGGAAUGUGCUACUUUUGAUUUUUUUUUGUGGAACUUUGACUCGGAAAUAUAUUUUAGGAAUUUUAGGCUGAGAUUUUCAGUUACUAUUUUAAAUAUUUUUAUCGUUGUUUUUGUAUAUAAAUUGACGAGUAAAAUAGAUUUCUAAGUGGAAAGCAAAAGUAAAGUACUAAUUGCAACACUUCGGCAUGCUUUCAACAAAACCUAAAUGUCUUCCAAUUUAUAUUCGAAAUUACAAUAUAUACAUACAUACUUACAUAUAUAUCUGUACGCAUAACGCAUGCACAAUUUGUUCGCUCUUCACAACAUGAAUGCACACACUUAAGUAAUCAGGCGAGUAAUCUUUUAUUGGCGCUACAACAAAAAAUGUGUUGGCUUUUGUUUUUGUUGUACUUUUAUACAUUUGUUUAUGUUGUAAUUUCUUUUAUCGACAUUUGAUGCCAAUAUUAUCAGUAUUUUCCAUGUGCUUUGUUUGUAUUUGCAUUGCUUUUGUUUUUUGUGUUGUUGUUGUUGUUUUUUUCGCUUUGCCAUAUUCAAACAACAUAACUAAAUUUGUACAUUGUGUGAGCGCCAUAAGCAAUACAUAAUGAGAUAAGACUUUUUUCAUUGUUUUCUUUCACCAAAUUGCAUAAUAACACGAAUUGCUUGAAAAUUUUUUUAAAUUUACGCAAUUGUUGGACGAAUUACAUUAAUCAUACUGUGCAUAUAAAUGUAAUUACGAGGAUGACACCAAUUCAAAAUAAAUUCUGCCUGGGGAGUUACAAACUUAAUGGAUUAUACUUUUGAAGAACCUUGAGUAGAGAUCCACAAACCGGAUACUAGUCUGUGAUGUAGAAACAUUUUCGAAAAGAGUGUUUUGGAAACUUCUUUAUUCAUAACUUCAAAAGCUGAUUUUUCAAUAAGAGAAUAAGGAAAUAGUCUAACUGCGUCAAAUCUCACGACCGAGGCAGCCAAUUGACUGGGCCAUUUAGUGAGAUAACCCUUAGCCAAAUUUGGUGUUCAAUAAAUCGAUUGUGAUUUUCACUGUGAGGCUUGUGACGCCGUUCUCUUGGAACCACAUAUUGUCCAAGUCCAUUUCAUCCAAUUUUGGUCAAAAAUAUUCGGUUAUCAUUGAGCGGUAGCGAUUCCCAUUCACAGAUGGAGUACGUGUGGAUUGCUGUCUGGCCAAUAAUACAUAUUUUGCUUAUUGACGAAGCCAUUCAGCUUCGUUGAAGAUUAUUUUCGAUGAAAAUCUGGAUCAUUUUCAAGUUGUUGCUUUACGAACAUUCGAUUCUGGUGGUCAAGCGGAUUCAGCUCUUGCGUUAAUUUGAUCUUGUAAGGAUGUAGGCCAAUAUCUUUUCACAAAAUCUCCACGACGACGUAACAGAGAUGCCCAGCGCUUGAGAACGACGUGUGAGGUACUUAUUUGGGUCUUCCUUAAUUGAUGCGCAAUAUUCUCGACAAUACGGGCACUUCAUUGUCUCAUUGGCACAGGCACAUUAUGUACUGUGCCUGUGGAUUCAUAUUUUCCCACUAGACGCUCAGUGGUUGAUCUGGCAGGACGAUUAUUGCGACCAAAAAUAGGACGUAGCGCUCUUAAAGUUGAGGCCACUGACUCCGACUUUCGUUAGUAAAUUUUAAUAAUUUCAACUCGUUGUUGGAUCGUAUAUUUUUCCAUGAAAUGGCAAACCUUACUGAAGAGAAAUGUCAAAAGAGCGGAAAAUAAUAUGGCGUCGUUUGCUGUCUAUCGGUCUACUUUUGUAGCGGCCUAUUGAAAACCCCUUUAUUUUUAUAAAGAUAAAAAGUUCACUUUUAAAAGCUAUGAUAUUAUUUAUUUACAUACAUAUAUAUAGACUGGAUUCUCAACUCAGAUGGAAAGACAUUUAACUCAACUUGUGUAAGCCAUUAUUAGGUUCACUGGUACUAAUCAAAAUUUCUCGAUCGACGAUUUUUUUAUUUGGAAGUCAUGGAAGAUAUCACAUUUGUUAUUCGCGAUCUAUGCAAUUUAAUGCAACCCAUCAAAUAUAUACGUCCUACUCCCAUUUCCAUAUUUACUAAAGUGGAUGAAAGAACUCCCAUUCAUGUUAAAUCAAUGCAGAUGUUAGAGCAACUAGAUAACCGCCUUCAAGCUGGUCAACUGGUCAAGUGCGACGAUGGGCAAUAUAACCUCAAUCUUUUGUGAAGAUUAUUAUAAUCCGAGUCCAUUCUGCACUCUUGAUUAGUAGAUGCAUAGCAAGUGCAGAGUCAUGCUGCUGUUGUUGCCGCUCAACCACGCUGACCUAACCUCAAUCAAGUGCACGCAACUACAAUGAGCUCAGCUUAUUCUUCUUAGUCUUCCAAUCCCUUUAAUUUGCAUUUUUUAUUUGAAUACAUUGCACGCAACUGUAACUACAAAUAGUGCUAGAGUUCUCCUCACACCCCCUUCAAAUUGCGCGAUUAUUACUUGUAAACACAGCAACAAGUGUUACAACAACACUCACUAAAGCAGUAAUAAAACCAAGGAAGGAGGAGCACUAAGUAGGGAUAGCUGAAGAAAAUAAAUUUUACAUAUGUCAGUUUGCAUUUGCGGCAAUGUGGUACGUGAGUACGUGUGUCAGGCCAUCACAACAAAAGUGAAAGUACGCACAUACUUACAUAGAUAUACAUAUGUAUGUACGUGUAUAAAUAGUUUGUUGCCUUUUGAUUGUGCUGAGGCAAUCACUUGCACGAAGGCAAUAUUGGCCACCGCAAGCUCACACUAAUGAUACUCGCACGCGCAUACUGGCAAUGUAAGUACAGGGUGCUUCAGUUGACGCGAGUAUAUUUUACUGGAAGUGGCAGAAAUCCUAAGUGCUAUGGAACGCGUCAUUUUGGUUUAAAUCUAACAUUUUUUGUUUGAGAACGUGAUUCUAAGAGAGUGUCAAGAGUAUGGUUAUAUCUCGGAGAGGUCAUGUGACUUAACCAUUAAUAUCGUGCUAUUUCAUCCAGUUAUAGUUUUAGGUAUUUCUUGAUCUAAGGUAGGGCGGUCCAUGAUCUUAAGCCAUAUUUGACUAACGUAUAGCUUCAUUCUAAGCCUUGCAACAGGGGCAUAAACGUUUAAACUCAUAAAUUUCUAAAUUCUCUGAAUUUUCCUGCAGAUAAAUAUGUUUCGGAACCGAAGAUUUUAUGCAGCAACAACAAUAAUUUUCAUAUAUUAAUUUAAAAGAGGAGUCCAGAAUUUUUUCUGAAUAAAAUCAGAGACACAAAUUCAUCGUUUUCGUUUUUGGUCAUAUACCAUUCUAACAACUAACUACCGGCUCUUAUUGUAGGACCCUUUAUCCGGUAGUUAUUUAUGUUGUGGUCGAUUCGUUUGUGGCUUGGGCGCUGAAAUAUGCGCUUACUAAACAUAAUAUACUCAUACUUCACUGGGUACUUUGUGUUGACUGGUCGGCAACGGCUCAGGCAUCGGCAUCGGUUUUGACAUCGGCUAAUUGCGUUAAGUAUGGCAAUUUAAUACGUGACAUGUAAUUAAAUAAUAAUAAUGCUGGAAUUUAAUAAGCCCUUCGCGUGUGUCGCUGUCGCUGUCAUUGUUAUUGUUAUUAGUGUCUAUAUUACCACAAAGCCGUAGAUGAUGGGCGAGCACCGCUGUACAGUAGGCCAAGCAAUACCAGUAGUUCAUUUUGUGGUAACCGAGACCGAGAUCCAAACCAUUACACGAUUAUAUUGUCAUAAUUUUCUGCUGUGAAGAAGCUGCUUAAAUGUGAUCUUGUUUUGUGUAGAAUUUUUGCCGACAAAUGAAAAAUUUCUGAGGUGUGAACAUAAAUACAGAUAUUCAUAUAAAUACUAUACUAUAUGUAGAAUAUUAAUUAUAUAUUAUGUACGUGCGUAAUGGAAUUGCAUAUUGGUUAUGCUGACUCUGCAGCUUUUAUACUGUGUUUUCUAUAAGCAAGUUGCUCAUUUGUAAAUUUGUUCGACCACAAACUUGAUAAGAGUAAAAGUUUUGUGGAGGGCUUACUAUAAAACCCCCAAAUUUUUAAAUUUUAAGAUCAGUCUGUUUCUUUGAAACCAAAACGUUAUUCAAGUCACAUUGACGUAUAGCAGCCACAACGAGCUCUAUUCUAAAAUGGCGUACAAUACAUUCCUGCGGCAUAACUACGUCAUAUCGAAUGGUGGAACUAUUUUGAAGGCGACUACAUUAAUAAAUUUGAAAAAAUUCGUUCGGAUUAUAACUUUACGAGUUAUUCGACAAAUAACGAACGCCCGGGUGCAACUUUAACUGCGUUUUUCUCAAAACUAUGUUUUUGAACUGGUGACAACUGUAACUCGAAAACCGAUCAGAAGAUUGUAAUGAAAUUUAUACAGCUUUUAGAAUGCAUAAUAAACUCAAACCCGACGAA